CUAGAGGCCUACAACUGAAGUUGAUUCUGCAAUGAUGCAAAGGAGGUCCACCACUUAUGGAGAUGUGUAUUUUUCAGCCGGAGUGGGAAGCUCAAGAGGUGGUGCUAUUGUCCAAAUUAGCCACUCACAAAGCUUAUCAAACAUGGCACCAACACAAGGUUCUCAGGUCCCCACAUCUGCACACAACUCAGGAAUGGCACUUGAGGGAUAUGCAGCCUUUUAGAAGUCAGUCGAAAAGUUCAUGGAGCUGGUAGUUUUUGUUUGGUAUUACUUUUGGAAUAUGCACCUGUUGGUUUUGCUUCUAAUUAAGUACUUUGGCUAGUUAAUUGCUAUCUAAGUUUGUGGACCAGUUUAUGGCUAUCUAAGUUUAUGGACCACUUCAUGGCAAUCUAAGUUUAUGGACCACUUUAUGGCUAUCUAAGUUUGUUCGCUGCCAACUUAUUUCUGGUGUGUCUUGAUCCUUUAAGAACACUUAUGUAACAGAUUAUGAUAUGAUAUGCAAAAUGUUGGCAUUUUUUGA